rnacentral:rRNA from 1 species
UGUAUGACGCUCAUAACUGGCCGUCGUCUUUCAGUGUAGGACCAGUUAUCGACUGGGAUCCGACUUUGAUCAUGGAUCAGGAUGAACGCUGGCGGCGGUGCUUAACACAUGCAAGUCGAACGAAGCACCUUGAUUUGAUUCUUCGGAUGAAGAUCCUGGUGACCUGAGGUGGCGGACGGGUGGAGUAACGCGUGGGUAACCUGCCUCAUACAGGGGGAUAACAGUUAGAAAUGACUGCUAAUACCGCAUAAGACCACAGCACCGCAUGGUGCAGGGGUAAAAACUCCGGUGGUAUGAGAUGGACCCGCGUCUGAUUAGGUAGUUGGUGGGGUAACGGCCUACCAAGCCGACGAUCAGUAGCCGACCUGAGAGGGUGACCGGCCACAUUGGGACUGAGACACGGCCCAAACUCCUACGGGAGGCAGCAGUGGGGAAUAUUGCACAAUGGGGGAAGCCCUGAUGCAGCGACGCCGCGUGAGCGAUGAAGUAUUUCGGUAUGUAAAGCUCUAUCAGCAGGGAAGAAAAUGACGGUACCUGACUAAGAAGCACCGGCUAAAUACGUGCCAGCAGCCGCGGUAAUACGUAUGGUGCAAGCGUUAUCCGGAUUUACUGGGUGUAAAGGGAGCGUAGACGGAGUGGCAAGUCUGAUGUGAAAACCCGGGGCUCAACCCCGGGACUGCAUUGGAAACUGUCAAUCUAGAGUACCGGAGAGGUAAGCGGAAUUCCUAGUGUAGCGGUGAAAUGCGUAGAUAUUAGGAGGAACACCAGUGGCGAAGGCGGCUUACUGGGACGGUAACUGACGUUGAGGCUCGAAAGCGUGGGGAGCAAACAGGAUUAGAUACCCUGGUUAGUCCACGCCGUAAACGAUGACUACUAGGUGUCGGGCAGCAAAGCUGUUCGGUGCCGCAGCAAACGCAAUAAGUAGUCCACUCUUGGGGGAGUACGUUCGCACGGGUGAAAGUCAACAGACGCGAGUGGUUGU